UCUGUCCUUAAGAGGAAGAGGGGAGAAAGGCUAUGUCUAUAUUCAAAGUUGUGACUGGUGAAGGUCUGAAUGGGAAACAGCCUAACAUU
ensembl:snoRNA LOC120097266 small nucleolar RNA SNORA17